GAAGUAGCUCAGCUUGGUAGAGCACUUGGUUUGGGACCAAGGGGUCGCAGGUUCGAAUCCUGUCUUCCCGA
rnacentral:tRNA from 3 species